GAGGGUAUAGCUCAAGUAGUAGAGCACAUGCUUAGCAUGCAUGAGGUCUUGGGUUCAAUCCUCAGUGCCUUCA
rnacentral:tRNA from 1 species